UGUGAUCAAGAGGUCGAUGGUGAU
rnacentral:siRNA from 1 species